UACAGAGGGUGCGAGCGUUAAUCGGAAUUACUGGGCGUAAAGGGCGCGUAGGUGGUUGUAUAAGAUUGUUGUGAAAUCCCUGGGCUUAACCUAGGAACUGCAACGAUGACUGUAUAGCUAGAGUAUUGUAGAGGGUAGUGGAAUUUCCGGUGUAGCGGUGAAAUGCGUAGAGAUCGGAAGGAACACCAGUGGCGAAGGCGGCUACCUGGACAAAUACUGACACUGAGGCGCGAGAGCGUGGGGAGCAAACAGG
rnacentral:rRNA from 1 species